AAAUGAAACCAAAUCACUGUUAUUAGUAACAAACGAAAUCAAUUCGUUCGGAUGCCAUUGUUUGUGUUUAUAUGUGUUUCAAUAAAUCGAUUGUGCAAUCAUUCUUUAUACUUGUGUUGUCAAUCGAUGAUCGAGUACCUUUUGUGGGUCAUCAAAUCGAUUGUUUUUCGUAUUAUCGUUAAUCCCAACAAUAUGUAUACGGUAUUCGUUGUGAGUGCAUCGAACUGCUGAGUCAAAAUUGUCCGAAGACAUAUUAUCGGAUACUCGUAAAUCAUUCAAGCUAUUAGUGGGGGCAGCUUCGGCGAAUGUGUCAGGUGUCACUGUAUCUGUUUAAACAGGGGUCCGGCCGGCGAGCCCCCGGCGGCCCUCAGUAGAUCCGACCGGUGGCGGCGCGAACAUUCGCGGCACGUCCUUUGUUGGCCGUUUUGUUUUUGGAAUACCAUCCGGUUCCUGGUAGUGGGGAGGGGGACAGGUGAUCGCAGGUAGCGCGCGCGGCGGCUGCCAGUCCACCUCGAGGCGUCGGGCUGCGCGCGCGCCUCGCCCGUUGAUAAAUAGAAUCAAAUAUGGAAAUGGCCAGUCAUUCCGCGACAGGUGCGCGACCGCGGCGUUCGUGCACGUGUGCUGUUUGUGAGUGCGCCACCGCUGCCACAGUCAUCACGAUGUUCAGCCGCUGGUAAGUCGUCCAACUCUUAGUGAAACGCUUUCCAACUUUGAGACCGGCUGGUUUUUGUCGUUUCUGUAAUAACAGCGUCGGUUGCUCACGCGCAUCUGCCGUUCCGUUUCGAUGCAGCUGCCGGCCUUUGAAUAGAUAUAUUUAAUCGAGGAUUUCAAUGGUUAUAUGGAAUUAUUAAGAUUUUGAUCGCAAUAAAAUCAAAGCAAAGGAACUCUACCAUCGUGUACCUCAAUGAUUUCAUUUAAAAUGACCUCGGUUUAGGUAAUGGUGAGAGUUUAGUCCUGGAUCGAAUAAUUAGGUAUGUAACUUUUUGAAUAACACCUUAUUUUUGCAGCGUGUCCAAUAUUGAAUAAUAAAUAAAAACGGACAAAUUUAUGUAACACUGCUAUUUAUGACUUAUUUUAACAGAAUAUUCAAUUUUUAAUAAAAAAAAUACAUAUCGCUACUGCUUGUUGCCACGGUUUCCACGUGUGAGAUAGCAUAAGUAAAUUUUAUUCACAAAAUGUAGGAACCAAUUGCUUCUAUUGUAAACUGAGCGUUAUAUCCCACACUUUAGGUGCUUAUAUGCUUGUUAAAUUGUUCACCUACGGUUAUAAGAUGACAAGAAGAAUUUAUAACCUCGUAACGGUGACCUCUGGCCCCGCAGCGUAACGUUCCAACUUGUUACUCCAUUCAUGAAGUGUAAUUUUUUUCAAUUGAUUGUUAUCUUACGUUACUUAUUGUUAUUACUUCAGAAAUCGUAGUUUAUCGUGCUUGUUUAUAUAUUAUACUAGCUUUUUGUCCAAUACUUUGUAUGCGUGGCAAAAUUAAUGAAACAUACUUUCAGAUGGCGUAUUAACACUUUAUUGACCCGGAAUUCCGGCGUGGUUGAAAUUUUUGAAAUAAACUAAAAUUAGGAUAAAAAUCUAAAUACAAGGAAAAGUAUUUUUUUGGUUAUGAACGCUUUGUAAUCCAAACGGUGUUG